GCCAACCAAGGCUCCCGCCCAUUGGGGCAAGGGAGCCGGACAUGGAACAGAGGCCUGGGGAGCAGCCCUCAAGGGCCCAGAAGAAGAAGGUCGAGGCUCAGCCGGAGACCCUAAGUCAGACUGUCUCGGGCCGGGGUCGGGUGCUGCUAAUAAGAGAGUUCUUGAAGCAGGAAGAGAGCUACACAACCCUGCAGAACUUUCCGGGUCAGCCUCCGAAGGAUCCAAACGCUGAGCCCACCUGCAGCCAAGCAACAGACUGCCAACGUAGGUCCAGCAGUGCCAGGCGGGGACUCAAGCGUACCGGCGACUGCUUGGCAGACAGCCCCGAAGCCCCGGCCACCAAGUCCAAGUGCCUGGCGGAGAAGUCGGAGAGGGCGGAGAAGCCCGAGAAGCUGGAGAAGCAGCAGCUCUCGGAUCUCAAGGAAAAGGACUUGCCCGAUUACGAGGCGCCUCGAGCUCUACCCGAGGCCCCCAGCUCGGAGACGGCAGAGAUCGCCGAACUAGGCUCGGAGCCUGGCAAGCAGCUGCUCCUGGUGCUGUGCCACGCGUCGGCGCUGGGCACGCAGCUGCCUCGGCUGCAGCUGCUCCUGCAGCAGGUGCGCGUCCAGGACCGCCGCCCGCCAGCCGCGCUCGUAGGAAUCCUGGUGCAUCCGCGGCCGGAUGAGGAGGCAGAGUCGCGCCGCCGUCUGGAGGAACUGCUCUGCAGCGUCUUCGCCUCAGAGAACCCAGGGGUCGAGGUGCACACAGCAGUGUUCUGUCCCAGCCGCUCCCAGGGUGUCCUGGAUGUCCAGCGCGCUGCCAGUCAAGCGCACAUGGACACCCUAGUGGAUCGCCAGACCCAGACGGAUGAAAACCUUCAAGGAAACACUGUACUCCCCGUAACUCACGUACUUCAAGCUCUCGGAACUGUUGCUGUGGCUCUGGGGGCCCUGGGAGCUGCCUACUUCAUCGCUGAAUCCUUCUGAACUGGACCCCAGGCCAACGGUCCGGCAGUGUCCUCCAGCCUGUUCCACGUGGUUCUUUGGAAUGUGUGUGAUCUCUCCCACUCCUUACUUAUAACACACCGUCUCUGCAUGUGAGGAUGUCUUCAGUCACCUGUUUCACCUGAGCCCCCUUGAGCCCCAGAAGCAGAGCCGGAAACAAGGAUUGGGUGCACCUGAUACCUUGAGGAAGUACUCUCAGGAGAAGGCCGGGGAAAUACCACAGCACUUAAGAGCCUUGGCUUCCCUCUUCUUGGACUUGCUGGGAGUGAGGAGGUGUCUGUAGGAGAUAGCUGGUGGCUGUUGUGUCUUGUUAUCAUAUCAGCACGGUGUCUGAGAAGAUUCUGGCUUUGGAGUUAACCUGACAAUCUCUAGACUGUGCCGCCUGGACUCAGUGUGAGAAACAUGUUCUUAACUUCUC